GCGGGGUGGGCACGGCCCCCAACUGUACCUACGGACCCGACGGAAAGGACACCCAGAGCCAUCCCAACGAGGACGGACACUUCAGGUUCAGAGGUGAGGAAGGCUGUUUCCUGUAUGGAGUGUUUAAUGGGUUUGAUGGGAGCAGAGUGUCCAGCUUCGUCUCUCAGUGUCUGACAGCAGAACUGCUUCUGGGACAGCUCAAGUCUACACACACUGACGCUGAUGUCCGCAGAAUUCUCUCACAGGCCUUCGACGUUGUAGAGAAGAGUUACUUUGAGACAAUCGGUGACGCUCUUGCAGAGAAGGCUACUAUUAUAUCUCAACUACCUGAGGGAGUAUCGUUCCACCAGCUCUCCCCCCAGAGUCAGAAGCUUUCUGAGCGGCUGAAGGACCUGGAACAGGAAGUGUCUGGUGGAGCUACCGCUGUUGUGGCUCUGAUACACAACAACAAGCUCUACAUCGCCAACGUGGGUACGUACUGUUCAACACACACACACACACACACA